GCAGACCUGCGUGGAAUGGUUGUCAUGAAUAAUCUAUAGCGUUUUAAACCAAACAGUCAGACUGAUUUUACAACCCAGACAUCACAAGAGCUCUCAGAUACUUAAUAAGGUUUUGCUACAAAACAUCUAAGCUUACAUUCCAUCGUUUCAUUCAUUGUUAUCUUGUCCAACCAUCAUUCUUCAUUUGUUCUGUCAUCAUUAGUUUAGAAAUAUAGAAUUAAAAUCAUUUUUAUAAACUAUGUUCUUGACUGUCUGAAGUAAUAUGAAGUGUGUGUACUAUUAAACCAAAUAUUCAAAGACCAAUCACAUUGAUAAUUCACAUUUAUGUGGAAUAUCACGUGUUAUUGAUCAUUUCAUAUGCGUAGCUACAUCCAUCACGCUACAAUGACAACAAACUCCAUCUAUUAUCAAUUCAUUUGAAUAAUCAAAUCAAUUUUACCAAGAUAAAUGUUUCUGUUUUUAUGUUGAACUGAAAAUUUAGGUGCAAUAACAAGUUAUUUAAGCUUAAUGAACUGACCUGAAUUGGAAUGUUUAUUAUGUGAAGUGCCUUGAGAUGACACUGAUUUGGCGCUAUAUAAAUAAACUUGAAUUGAAAUUGAAUUAAGUUUAAUAAAUGUUUAAUUUUCAUCCAAAUAGCCAGAGAUAUUUUAUUAAGCUGAAAUAGAUGUGGUGCUUCAGACAGACGAGUGUGCCGUAAACACAAUAAUAACAAUAAUGAUAAUAAUGAUAUUAAUAAUAAUACCCAUGCCUCAGCUAAGUUGUCUGAGCAUCCAUGCCUCUGAGUCAGUAGAGUCACCCAUGGCAAACAGGUCAUAGGUGAAGGAUCGAACAAAGUGUAGCCCACAGACCCCUAAUGAUGAAUGAUGCGAAUGGAAACAGUGUUCCCUCGCCUGGACUCGAGUCAUCGGGGCCCCCCUGGAGCCAGACCUGGAGGUGGGGCUCGUUGGCGAGCGCCUGGUGGCUGGGCUUUUACCCAAGGAGCCCGAAGAGGAAACGUGGGUUCCUCUUUCCGGGGGUUCACCACUUGUGGGAGGGGCCUAAUGGGCCGGGUGCAAUGUUUUAUGGGUGGUAACCGAAGGCGGAGACCAACCAACGGCUAGGGAUGUUGUCAAGCUGAAAAGAGUCCUACUGGGUUUGUUUGGCCUGUGGGACUCUAGAGGCAGCUGAUGGGUACCGUCAGGCCAAGUGGAAUGUGGCUCAGGUUAUUGUGGAGGCAAGCUUGGGAGGAGUUCAGUGAGACCAUGGAGCAAGACUUCUGUGUGGCUUCGAAGAGAGCAUGGUCCGCCAUCCGGCAUCUCAGGAGGGGACAGCAGAACGCCACCAAUACUGUUUAUAGAGGGAUGGUGUUCUGCUGACCUCUACUCGAGAUGUUGUGGAUCGGUGGGCAGAGUAGUAGAAGAAGAAGAAGAUGAUGAUCUUUAGCACCUCUUAAGAUCAAAAUCACAAGGCGCCUCACAAAAACUAAAAAAAUUAAGUAUAAAAUAUUUUAAAAAUGAUUAAAAAUAUGUUGAAAAGGAGAAAAGAAAAAGGAAAGGGAGAGAGAAAAUGAAUAGGAAAGAGAGAAAUCAGUGGAUCCCAGGAAAGGAGGAAUAAGAGCAGAAUAGGGAGAAGGUGGUGAUGAAGAUCACACAAAAGCCAACGUCUUCAGCUGCAUUUUAAAGGAGACCACUGAGUCCACUAAUCUCAGGCUCAGGGGGAGAGAGGUCCAGAGUCUGGGGGCCAUGGCCGUUUCUUCCUAUGUGCAACCUAUGCUGUUGCAUAGGGCCCCCAAGCCACUAGGGGCCCCCAAAGCUGCUGCGGUUGGGUCGAUGGUGACACACACUGGCUUUCAUAGUUUACCGUAACUCUUCGACAGUUUGCGCAAUCAACAGAUUCUGAAAGCUGAGACGAUGUACUUCCCAGUGGUAUACAAUACAUUACGGUAAUGUUACGCAAGUCCCUGCCCGAGAACCAGGAAAUAAACAGUCUGCCAUGUGCCGUGCUCAUAGGGGAGUGGAGGAAUUGUUUUGGACUAAUAAUUAUUUUCUGUAAAUUUCCUACUUUAUUUUUUAUUUAGUAAUUUUAGAUUAUAUUUAUUUAUAUUUGACAUUGCUUCGCCAUUUUGAUCACCCGUAGUUUAGUCUUUUCAGCCGCGUUUUUCACUCAGGCUUUUUAUUGUUUUGUACGUUAGAUUUGUUUUUGUAAAUAAACCAGAAACCAGGAAACCUUCGAGAAAGAGGAAACUUCCCUCAAAAGUUGUUGAUGAGGAGCAAGAUGUGCCCACAUUGUUUUCCAUCCCAAAUGCAGCAAGCAUCUCUGCACUAAACCCGUUCCAGUUUCUGUUGUCUAGUAUUUCUGCUAAUACUAUUACCAGUACUAUACUAUUAUAUACUAUUACUGCUACUUGCAGGAAAACUAAACCUUCAUGUACACCUGUGGUUGAGGAUUCAGGUGUGGAUGAAGAUGAUUUGCCUUCACAGCUGCAAUUCUUCUGAUGAAGAGCCAUCCACCAUCACCAGCAAUAGACAAUGUCAGAGACAGGAUGCUGCUGGAGAUGCUCCACAUUUUCUGGACUUCUGACAACAAAGUCAGACCCAGGUACCGUCGACCCAUGACACCCAGAUUUAUCCCCGGAAGAACACCUAGCUCUCACCUCUCACCACCAGCUCCACAACAAAUCAGCAACAAGUAGCAGAAGGAGGCCGUGAAUCAUCAACAAUUUCAGGAGCAGCAGUGUGCAGAGGAUGAAAACCCUCCAGUGACCUCCGCUCAAGGUCACAUCCCCUUUACCCUGGUCCAGUGGAGAAGGAAUGGAUGAAGCACAGAGGUGAAACAGGGUCCUCAGAACCCGUUCUGUUUGGGUAUCGGCUGUCCGAAGGGAGGGAGGAAAUAUCCAAAGACCUGUCUCCGCUCCACAUCGCCUCAAGGGGGAAAUGGCUGAAACGCGACGCAAACACCAGACAUUCCAGGCUGAACUUCAGACCAUCAAAUCACACUAACUCGUGACUUAAUGUCAUCGAAUCAGACCUGGGGAGUUGGAGUUUGAUCAAAUGACAUGUUUCCUCGAAUCAAAUCUGGUAGAGGUGUUGUUGGUCGUGUGGGGCACGUCGUGCGUAAACAGCGCUCCAGUUGGAUACGCAGCACGCGCUGAAGCACCCAUCCAUCUAUAAUGCAAUCCUGUUGUUUUUUUAUUAAACAUUUACGGACAUUUAAAUAUCGAACGUUCUUAGGAGAAAGUAACAAAUGUGGCCCUCAUGGGACACUUUUAGAUGUCUCCCCCCAACACCAGAAGAUCUGAACCUUUACCAGGCAGGUGUGGGGAAGCAAACAGCUCACUAAUGGUAUACUGGUGACCCCUGCGUUUAAAAUGAACUGCAAAAAUAUUCAUUCCGGCAUUUUCUUUAUUUAUUUUUUAGCUUUUCGAUAUUUAAUUUCCGCUUUAAACCUAAUAAAACACAAACAACACCUGACUUUUAAAACAUGAAAAAGAAACCAGAAUUUUAUUUUAACCAUUUUUUUUAA